rnacentral:rRNA from 1 species
GUUAGUCCAACCGCAAGGAGGACGGCGCCGAAGGCGAGCUUGGUGAUUGGGACUAAGUUGUAACAAGGUAGCCGUAGGUGAACCUGCAGAAGGAUCA